ACGCGUGAGUAACCUGCCUUUCAGAGGGGGAUAACGUUCUGAAAAGAACGCUAAUACCGCAUGAGACUACAGAGCUGCAUGGCUCAGUGGUCAAAGGAGCAAUCCGCUUUGAGAUGGCCUCGCGUCCGAUUAGCUAGUUGGUGAGGUAAUGGCCCACCAAGGCAACGAUCGGUAGCCGGACUGAGAGGUUGAACGGCCACAUUGGGACUGAGACACGGCCCAGACUCCUACGGGAGGCAGCAUG
rnacentral:rRNA from 1 species